UACGAAGGGUGCAAGCGUUACUCGGAAUUACUGGGCGUAAAGGGCUCGUAGGCGGCCAACUAAGUCCGACGUGAAAUCCCCAGGCUUAACCUGGGAACUGCGUCGGAUACUGGGUGGCUUGAAUCCGGGAGAGGGAUGCGGAAUUCCAGGUGUAGCGGUGAAAUGCGUAGAUAUCUGGAGGAACACCGGUGGCGAAGGCGGCAUCCUGGACCGGCAUUGACGCUGAGGAGCGAAAGCCAGGGGAGCAAACGGG
rnacentral:rRNA from 1 species